rnacentral:lncRNA from 1 species
CAACUCUACAACAGAUUUAUCCAUCAGAUCACCAGCAAUGAUGGUGAUACAUGGCUGUGUACAUUAUGUAUAUACAACUCGUCUAACCAUCAACCCAACAAUGUUAGAUCUGUAAAUUUGCUUUCGCAAAUUUUUUGUUCUUCCCUCACCAGGAUUCGAACCCAUGCUACUGAGAUAUAUAUAUAACAUCGUGGCCACAAGUUAAAAUUUUUUUUCUGUUUAGUAUUAAAUUUAUAUUAAGAUCCAUUUUGUUACAUCUUGUGAUCAAUUUUAUUUGGCAAUCGCCAAUGGCAGUCAGCAGGGUUAAAGAACAUCAGUUGUU